rnacentral:rRNA from 1 species
CGAGUUUGAUCCUGGCUCAGGAUGAACGCUAGCGGGAGGCCUAACACAUGCAAGCCGAGCGGUAUUGUUUCUUCGGGAAUGAGAGAGCGGCGUACGGGUGCGGAACACGUGUGCAACCUGCCUUUAUCUGGGGGAUAGCCUUUCGAAAGGAAGAUUAAUACUCCAUAACAUAUUGAACGGCAUCGUUUGAUAUUGAAAGCUCCGGCGGAUAGAGAUGGGCACGCGCAAGAUUAGCUAGUUGGUGAGGUAACGGCUCACCAAGGCGAUGAUCUUUAGGGGGCCUGAGAGGGUGAUCCCCCACACUGGUACUGAGACACGGACCAGACUCCUACGGGAGGCAGCAGUGAGGAAUAUUGGUCAAUGGGUGCAAGCCUGAACCAGCCAUCCCGCGUGAAGGACGACUGCCCUAUGGGUUGUAAACUUCUUUUGUAUAGGGAUAAACCUACCCUCGUGAGGGUAGCUGAAGGUACUAUACGAAUAAGCACCGGCUAACUCCGUG